AAUGCAGGUGAUGAGAAACUAGACAGGGACAUCAGCACUCAUAGCUACAGUUAUUGAGCAUGAUGACUCGUUCUAUUGGGAAUCUCUCUGAUGCAUG